rnacentral:rRNA from 1 species
AGCAGUCGCCGCGGUAACACGUAGGGUGCGAGCGUUAAUCGGAAUUACUGGGCGUAAAGCGUGCGCAGGCGGUUUGUUAAGACAGAUGUGAAAUCCCCGGGCUUAACCUGGGAACUGCAUUUGUGACUGGCCGGCUAGAGUAUGGCAGAGGGAGGUGGAAUUCCACGUGUAGCAGUGAAAUGCGUAGAUAUGUGGAGGAACACCGAUGGCGAAGGCAGCCUCCUGGGCCAAUACUGACGCUCAUGCACGAAAGCGUGGGGAGCAAACAGGAUUAGAUACCCCUGUAGUCCCUGUCUCUUAUAC